GCGCAACAACUUCCACCUGGCUUACCUUUUCAGUCUUGUGUCAAUGCUUGUAUCGCAUUGAAUGCAUGGUGGGUUUCUCGUGUUGCAUGCCUAAUUGAUGGUAUCAUUUGAAGAAUUGAUGUCCCUUUUCAUCUUGUGUCGCACAUGCGAUGUGAGAUGAACCUUGAAGUAGCCUUUGUGAUCCACUCUUUCGAUGUACACGCAUUGAUUUUGUGGCCCACUGUGUGUUGCUUGGUCUCAUGGAUAUGGAACCUGGUUUGGGCAUGGGAUCUUUACUAGUUCCUUGUUUGCCCUGGUAUAGCUUUUCUAGUACGAUUGUUUAUCACAUUUUAAUGUGGUAGGCUAUAUCGGAUAUGAAUGCUACCUGGUUGAUCCUGCC
rnacentral:misc_RNA from 1 species